CCGCGGGAUUAGAGUUUGAUCCUGGCUCAGGACGAACGCUGGCGGCGUGCUUAACACAUGCAAGUCACGGGGGCUCGCAAGAGCAACCGGCGAACGGGUGCGUAACACGUGAGCAACCUGCCGAUCUGAGGGGGAUAGCCGGCCCAACGGCCGGGUAAUACCGCAUACGGUUUUUGAGGGACAUCCCUUAGGAACGAAACCUCCGGGGCAGAUCGAGGGGCUCGCGGCCUAUCAGCUAGUUGGCGGGGUAACGGCCCACCAAGGCGACGACGGGUAGCUGGUCUGAGAGGAUGGCCAGCCACAUUGGGACUGAGAGACGGCCCAGACUCCUACGGGAGGCAGCAGUGGGGAAUCUUGCGCAAUGGCCGAAAGGCUGACGCAGCGACGCCGCGUGUGGGAUGAAGCAUUUCGGUGUGUAAACCACUGUUGCCCGGGACGAACAGCUCUUUUCGAGGAGCCUGACGGUACCGGGUGAGGAAGCACCGGCUAACUCCGUGCCAGCAGCCGCGGUAAUACGGAGGGUGCGAGCGUUGUCCGGAAUCACUGGGCGUAAAGGGCGCGUAGGUGGCGCGGGCAGUCAACGGUGAAAGUUCGGGGCUCAACCCUGAAUCGGCCGUCGAUACUCCCGGGCUUGAGCGCUGUAGAGGCAGAUGGGAUUCCGGGUGUAGCGGUGGAAUGCGUAGAGAUCCGGAAGAACACCGGUGGCGAAGGCGGUCUGCUGGGCAGUAGCUGACACUGAGGCGCGACAGCGUGGGGAGCAAACAGGAUUAGAUACCCUGGUAGUCCACGCCGU
rnacentral:rRNA from 1 species